CGAAGGAGCUAAUACCGGAUAAUAUUUCGAACCGCAUGGUUCGAUAGUGAAAGGUGGUUUUGCUAUCACUUAUAGAUGGACCCGCGCCGUAUUAGCUAGUUGGUAAGGUAACGGCUUACCAAGGCGACGAUACGUAGCCGACCUGAGAGGGUGAUCGGCCACACUGGAACUGAGACACGGUCCAGACUCCUACGGGAGGCAGCAGCG
rnacentral:rRNA from 1 species